GGACGCUUUGGGCCGUCGCUCGUAAAUGUCCAUGGAAUUGGAUGCAGAAGAUUGGAUUAGAUAAGUCCAAAUUGUCCAGGAUUUUUCAAAUUUGUCCGGUGGGAUUUGUGAAGGAAAACAUUGACUUGGAUUUAUAAGGAGCAUCGUGGGAGGUUCGUAUAUGUCAGUAGGGAUAUUUCAGGGAUCGAUUUUAUGGUCACGAUAUUGACCUUUUGCCGGGUCGGCAGCGCCGCACCCAGGAUACAGGAGGACGAGGGGGCAUUCCAACAUGGAAACGGCAUUUAAACAUUAUACGUUUUUAAUGUUUUAGGUGCAAAAAUAAUCAUUUUC